AUUUUCUGCCUCGUUUUUUUAGAAUAAAAAAAUUGUAUAAAACCCUCUCUUCCUCAGGUUUUCCCUCAUUUUAUGCUCAUCCUCCGUGCCUAAAUGAUAAUUUUGCGACCUUUUUCCUUCCUGCAUCUGCAAUGUCUUCUUCUUGCAAAUGUUUCAAGCAUUAUCCGAAGACAGUAUCGCCAGUUUCAACUCCUCUCCCCAGCAACAAAGUUUGCACAAGUCAUUAAGCAGCUAUCAACCCAGGUUCCAGAUAACCCCUUCCUGCCUCCAUGUAUCGUGCAGCGUACUUUUUUACGCAUGAUUUGCGCGCACAGACCUCCGCUGACCUUCUUGCUGUUUUCCACCAAGAGACCAAGAGACACACAAUGAAGAUUCUAAUGGCCUUCGUACACCUGCAUCAACUCUUCCUCCUCUCUCUCCGCAUUCCACAUCUUAUCUUUCCUACUGACCUCUUACUGAACUUUCCCCAUUCUUUCUCCCACUGCUAUUUUUUCUCCUGUGUAUUAUCCUCCUAUAACUUCUCCUGAAUCUGACCCCGAAUGCUCUCCCAUGUCCUCUCCAACCUCUAAGUCCUACAAGUCCUUUUUCCCAAUAAACCUACUUAGUCUGCCUUA